rnacentral:SRP_RNA from 1 species
GUGCUUCCACUGGAGACGUGAAUUUGGUUAGGCAGGGGAACGGGGAACGUCAGGCAGGUAACAGGUAGCAGGUAACAGGUAACAGGU